rnacentral:rRNA from 1 species
GACGAACGCUGGCGGCGUGCCUAAUACAUGCAAGUAGAACGCUGAAGAGAGGAGCUUGCUCUUCUUGGAUGAGUUGCGAGCGGGUGAGUAACGCGUAGGUAACCUGCCUUGUAGCGGGGGAUAACUAUUGGAAACGAUAGCUAAUACCGCAUAACAAUGGAUGACACAUGUCAUUUAUUUGAAAGGGGCAAUUGCUCCACUACAAGAUGGACCUGCGUUGUAUUAGCUAGUAGGUGAGGUAAUGGCUCACCUAGGCGACGAUACAUAGCCGACCUGAGAGGGUGAUCGGCCACACUGGGACUGAGACACGGCCCAGACUCCUACGGGAGGCAGCAGUAGGGAAUCUUCGGCAAUGGGGGCAACCCUGACCGAGCAACGCCGCGUGAGUGAAGAAGGUUUUCGGAUCGUAAAGCUCUGUUGUAAGUCAAGAACGGGUGUGAGAGUGGAAAGUUCACACUGUGAUGGUAGCUUACCAGAAAGGGACGGCUAACUACGUG